rnacentral:lncRNA from 1 species
GAGUGAUUAAUUAGAAGGUAUCUUUUCAUCUUUGCCCUUAUUAAAUAGAGGUGCGGGUGCACUUCAUACAAGAAAUUUCUUAACUCAGAUGGUUAGUGUAUCGAGGUGUGACUCUAGCAAGCUGUGUUCGAUUCCUGGUAGCUAGUUAUUUUUUUUUGAGUGGGGCUUGGUGCGGAGGCGAGUGUUGCAAGCAAUUAGUGUGCCUCGACGCCAGCACGACGGGCGGACCGGCGGGCGAGAUUAAUUGCAUGUCGAGCGGAGCUAGCCUUGUGC